CUCCCCUCCAUACAAAUGCCGGACGCCCCCCUCUCUCAAACCGAUGCCGCCCACGGGUUCUUGCGUUCUCUGAACCUGGGGGAAAGGAGAGAGAGCGUGCCCGGAUUCUCAGUUUUGCGGCGGCUGGUCGGAGCAUCGCUGGUAUUGCCGACUGCCGAGCUGCUACGCACAAGUUGCGGAGCUCUUCUACAAGAAGAGGCCGGAGGUCGGAGGUACCUCGGCGCGCCCGGGUCCAAGAAGUGGAUACUCGCCAUGGACGGCGGCGAGAGGCCGGCGGCGGCCCAGAAGAGACCCUUCCCCCCGGACGGCGAGCUCGUGGAGCUGCUGUGGCAGGACGGCGCCGUCGUGGCGCACUCGCAGGCGCAGCGGGCCUUCGCCGGCGCCGGCAACACUGGGGCCAGCGGCGUCACCGGGGAGGCUGCGGCGGCGGCGUGGCUCCCGGGCGGCGGCGCGCUGGGUGGGGACGUGUACUCGCAGCUCUGGCAGAGCAUCGCGCUAGCGCAGGCCGACGGGCGCGUGGGCGCGCCCGCCCGGGCCCGGCCUCCCGCCCAGAGCGGGAACAGCGCCGCCGGGUCGAGCCGGACUGCCGGCGAGGUCGGGUCCAGCUUCUGCGGCAGCAACCUCGUGGCGGCGGCGCGGCACCUGGACGACGCCAUCGACGACGUCGCGGCGUUGCCGCCGCAGCCGCCGGACGAGCCGGGCGCGUCCACGUCGAGCGGCUGGAACAGCAAUGCGCUGCUCAAGAGGAGCAGGGACGACUGCGAUGGCCGCAGCGAGGACGCCGACUUCGACACCGUCGACGAGACACCGCCGUCGAGGCGGCCGGCGUCCAAGCGCAGGACGCGCGCCGCCGAAGUCCACAACAUGUCGGAGAGGAGGAGAAGGGACCGGAUCAACGAGAAGAUGCGAGCUUUGCAAGAACUGGUGCCCCACUGCAACAAGACCGACAAAGCAUCGAUACUAGAUGAGGCAAUUGAGUACUUGAAGUCCCUCCAAAUGCAAGUUCAGAUCAUGUGGAUGAGUACUGGGAUGGCGCCCAUGAUGCUCCCAGGUGCUCACCAACUCAUGCCUCCAAUGAGCAUGGGCUUGAAUUCAACCUGUAUGCCACCGGCGGCGCAAUUCCUCAGUCACGUUCAAACAGUACCACCCUUCCUCAGUAACCCGUUGCCGAAUCAGAUUCCUCAGAUCUCACCUGCAUUUACCAGUGCACCCAAUGUAACAAACCAAGUUCAAAGCAACCGCGUGGCCCAGCCGAGAAAUCCAUUUCUUCAUCCUAAUGAUGCAUUGACAUCAACACCUCAGUUGCCAAGUUUAUUUGGCUAUGGACCACAGAUGGCACAAGAGAACGAGAUUCAAGAGUUACUGGCUUGCACUGCUGCUCCAGCUUUGGAUGCCGAGCCGCCGUCGUCCUCUGACGGAACAGGAACGUAACACCACCACAGUCCAGUAGUAUGUUUUACAGGUCAGUGCUCAGUUUUCGCUAUGGGUAAAUUGAAAUCAGAUGGAUGUGUACAAAAAUGAUAAUUGCAUCGCAUGGUCACGGUAUCAUCCUUGUUAGCAGUUUAGCUUAACUUAUUAUCACAUCCUAAGUUUGAGCAUAUCAAAUUGUCAUCACUUGAUCUUUUAGAGGAAACAUUGUCAUCAUGAUCUGAUACCAGCAUCGGAUAGAUCAGUUUUGACAUUUAGUUCUUCUUUGGCCAUUUGCAGUCCUAUUGUCUCACUAGAUGCCUAGAUGAACUAGGAUGUGGCAGUUGUACAUCCAUUUCACUCAGUCGCUGUUACAUUCAAUGGACUGUUCUGUCAAAUUAGCGGAAACAAGUGGACUAGUUUGCAGACAAAUCGGUUCGGCAUUUACUUUCUUGACACUGAAAGGAUGAGGAGAGCAACAAGGACUUGCAUCAGGGCAGCACAUACUAGCAUCUGAGUUAGAACCUUUAUUUCACUCUGUAUGUAUCAACAACCAACAUUCGCUUAGCUUUAUCUCUGAAAGAAUUCAUGAAGUAGAUUUGCGUAUUUAGCUGAUAUUAGAUAAGGCUUGAUCAUAUGAUAUUUGAGAUCUGAUAACAUUCCAUGUUCUAUAUAUAUAUAUAUAUUCUUUUUCCGGGUUGACCAUGCAAACAUAAUAUCAGAUGUCGGGAAAACUAACACGUCUGCCACAUCCUAGCACGGCUGGAAAUAGAAUAUCUCUCAGCUUAUAAAAUGGCUUGCAUUCCCUAGAACUAUAUGCAAUGUAUAGAAUAUUAGUGAGAAAAACAAUGUUUUGUUGUUUCCUUUUCUGAUCACCUUUGACACGCUUCAGCAGCUAGGGGGUAUGAACAGAAAGUCAGAACAAGUGGUCCUACAAGAAUCAAUUGGAUACUAACAUGCAGUGUGCUGUAAGGCCAUGGGCAGAUCAUGCAACCUUGAGAUUUUUGGGAACCUCUGAGCAGCCAACACGUUUGCGGAGGCACUGUGCUAACACGAUCUGAUUCUUAUCUCAAGAAUAGUAUUGAAGACUUGAACAUCACCUUUCUGUUUCUGGAACGAUUUCGUCUACAGGAGACGAACUUGGCAAAGCCAUCAGGAGAUGAGCUCCUGCUGAUGCUUUGGACAUGGAGGUGACAUGCUGGAUUAGGAGCAUCUCACAAGCACAAGGAUAUAAGCAGUCCUGGUUUCCCUCCUCUUUUUGCUGAUGUUACACCACUGUUACAUUAUCACAGAUGAGACUCUGCAUCUGGUGAGUUCAGUUCUUGUGGGUCUGUCUCUUCCAGCUUUACUUGAGCUACUGAUUCUUCAACUGGGCGGCCUCAAGGAACAUGAUAAUGUUUGCACGGGGACACUUGUUGAGAUUGAAACAAAACAGCAUCAUGCCAGAUUCGUACAUGAAGCACAUCAUCAACAUUAUUGGCAUUCGGACAUGCGCAAAUAUCGCACGAAUUCUGCGCAUGAACCGAUGUCUGCCACAUCUAUAUGGAUCUCGCGGGACUAGUCGAUCCGUCGCAGUUGCUUUCGUACCUUACAUGUAAUGAUACACGUUUCUUUGUCCUAAGUUAAUAGGGCAGUGACUGGUCAGUCCAUCUGGUUUGCAUAUCAUCUGUGGAAUUGUGCGUCCAUCACAGUCCCUGUCGGUUGAGAUUGGAACUUGGUUUUUGCACUUAUAGGUUGGGAUUUGGUUCUCAUGUUCAAUCAGGUUGCGUA